UUCAUAAGAAAUGUCUACUAUGAAAAGAAUGUCAUGACAACAGCCCUAGACUGGGAUACCAACCUAGCAUAAUAAGCAUUCUACAAUUCCCAUAAUAAGCUUCCCACAGUUCCCAACUAGCAGCAUUUAUAUUGAAAUUUUCAUAAGAAAUGUCUACUAUGAAAAGAAUGUCAUGACAACAGCCCUAGACUGGGAUACCAACCUAGCAUAAUAAGCCUUCUACAAUUCCCAUAAUAAGCUUCCCACAGUUCCCAACUAGCAGCAUUUAGAUUGAAAGAGAAGACAACAGAACAUAUUCUUUAAAUUAUAUGAGGCUGGUGAGCUAUUAAAAGACCUAAACUUCAACAGUUCAUAAUCCUACCAACAUUUACACCAAUCAGGGAGAAUAAUUGCAAAUAACAAAUCACAAAACAAAAGCUAUAAUAAGAACAAGCAAUCCAUAAUAUAUAUAUGAUUAAACGCUUCAGCAUCAUAAGAUCCAUGAAAACUAGUUCAAUUAAAACUAAUAGAAAAGUAGAUCGAAACACAUAAUACAUUGUUCAUACAUAAACUACAUUGUUCUUAAACCAAAAAAUAAAACAUUACAUCAUUAAGUUCGAAACCAUUUAUGUACUUUCAGAAGAAGAAGAUGGAUGAGGAUCAAGGCUUGGCACAGGUGCUUGAGUGGCAGCAUAGCGGACCCUAUCUGUCCAGCGAAAUGCUGUCACAACAAUGCUGCGACUUUCUGGAACGAACCUCAGAUGAACCCAAUCGUUGGGAUGGAUUUCAUAGGCCUCCACAAACUCCUGCCAACCAGCUCCAAAUAUGAUGUAGUUCCGAUUGUUGCAUGUUAGCUCGACGUCAUCCCUGAUCCACGGGUACGACUUCAGGCGAAACUGAAAUUGACCCAUUCCUGCUUCUACAAGUCUUCUAUAGAAUGGUCCGUGAGCAUUGAUCUAUAGAAAUNNNNNNNNNNNNNNNNNNNNNNNNNNNNNNNNNNNNNNNNNNNNNNNNNNNNNNNNNNNNNNNNNNNNNNNNNNNNNNNNNNNNNNNNNNNNACAAAUUUCUUCCAUCCUCUGCCCAACACAACGAAAUCAUGACGUCGUCGCACAGAAACUUCCCAGCUUCGGUUAUAACCGUCCAAGUGAACCGAACCAUGUUUUUCGUUGUCUUCUACCAUGUAUUUGUUAGAAAAUGACAAUGGUAUCUCCUGCAACGUCAAAGAAAUGAUUAGGACUGAUAGAUGCAACGGGAGUAUAAAAUUUCAUGAAAUAACUCAUACCAAUUCAGUGUCGUUAAUCCCCGCCUUGUCAAACUUGGCAAGGAAGAAAGGAAGAUCGUUCGGGCUGAGUUUUUCCAUUGAUAACAGUGAAAACUUGAAAGGGAUUGAAACUGGUUCGGUGUAAACUGGGGAAGCCUUUUGUUGAAGAAAGUGGUUUUCAGAAAAGUAACACAACCUUUCAGAUUAUAAAGCAAGCCAAAGGGUAAGCACGCAAGCCAAAGGGUAAGCACGAUGUUGGUCAAUUGCAUUAACUGUCCACUUGUUUCAUGAUGUCAGCCACACUCAAUUGUCUAAAUCAUGACAUAAACUUACAAGUAUCAAGAGUCGAGCGAAAUCAUGACCUAUAAGUGUAGCCAAAUCAUGACCUAUGUGUACCCAAAAUGACCUAAGUCUACUACUCAUAUGAGCUAAGUUUACUAGUAAUUUGUGACAACUCGCACAUAUAAGUAGACUUUCUGGAAAACUGUUCUUCAUGUACCCAAAAUGACCCAAGUCUACAAGUACUAAUAACACAAGUAGACUUUCUGGAAAUCUGUUCUUCAUAAAGAUACAGGGAAGAUACAAUUACUAGGCCUAUGAAUUGUGUUUAUGAAUCCACAUUUGUUGGCCCAAAUACGGUAAGUGUGUUGGCCCAAGAAACAGAAUAAUGUGAAUCGAAAGUAGUUGGGGAGCGAAACCCUAAUCCUGUCAGGUUGUUGUCUCUUGAUGUAUGAGCUACAACCCUAAAACUAUUACAUCAAUGAAAUAUGAUUGUGAUCCCUUCACGGCUCGAAUGGUCAUAAUAACAUCUGCCUCUUUGUUUUUCUUUUAAUUUUCUUGAGUGAAUAUUUGAGGAUUGAAUAAACCCUAUAUUUGGUAUUUUAUAUCAAGUUAAUUACAUUAAUUAUGGUCAUUACUUGCAGUGUAGUAGUGUCAUCAUUACUUGCUGCAGAGUUGUAGUACACUUGCUUCAUGAUGUAAGCCACACUCAAUAGUCUAAAUCAUGACAUAAGUCUACCUAAAUCAUCAUGACCUAAAAGUGUAGCCAAAUCAUGAGAUAUGUGUACCCAAAAUCACCAAAUUCUACUACUCACAUGAGCUAAGUUUACUAGAAAUUUGCAAAGUCUACAUUUAACAUAAGACAAAACUACUAUUUUCAUAAUAAAUGUCCACCAUUAACAUAAGAGAAAUCAAAGAAAAGUAGACUUUCUGGAAAUCUAAAUUGUUAUUGAGAUUGAAGCAACCCAAGGUAAAAGAUGCAAAAUCUACAUUUAACAUAAGACACAACUACUUUUUUCAUGAGAAAUGUCUAUGAUUAACAUAAGACAUGUCUAUCUUGGAUCGCCAACGUGUCAUCUCUCUUGCUCUCCAUUGGCCGAACCCUACAGCACUUGGAUCGCCACGUGUCAUGCUCCCAGCCGUCCGCUCUAUACCCUAAUUCAAAUCUCGAUCGCACAAUCAUGUAAACCCCGAAGGCAACAGUUGCAAAUCCGUAUUAAAAAAGUAAAAAAUUAUUCACACCCUUUAACACCGUUAACCCCUAACUCUUGUAUCGUUUUGUUUGUGGUUGAAAUUCGUAAUCCAAAAAAACAUAAGUUGUUGAAAUUGAUUGACACCCUUUAACACCGUUAAGUCACCCUUUUAAAAUCCAAUUGAAUCCUCAACACUCUUGCGCAUAACUCUCUCUUUCUAUCCUUACUCUCUUCCCACCAGCCCUAGGGCAUUCUAAUUGAUUUUGAAGUUUUGAAUGCCCUAGAUGCCGCCGAAGAAGAAACCCCCGGUGAAAAAACAAACGAAAAAGUCGCCGCCGAAGAAGGCCCCGACGAAGAAGCCCAAGGCUGUCCAAGAGAGGAAAAGGGCUAAUGCCUCGGACGCAGAUGGAAGGGCGAGGAAGAGUUCCCGAUUGUUGGGUAUCGAUCCACCAAGCAGCAGCUCCGACACUGUCUUUGAUCCCCAAGUGCGAUUAGUGGAGCAAGACAAAAAGAAACUGGCAAUUGAGAAGUUGUCGAAUUCAGCUCUUGACUCCAGUGCCCCAUGCUCUAUGUUGGUUAUUGCGAAUGAAGCUGCGGCGGAGGCGUCAAAACCCGAAAUGGCCGGUGAGGAGGCAAAAUCUAGUAAGGUUGCAAAGAUGAGGUCUCCACUGAAGCCCAAGCUGAAGAAAAACUCCAACAAAGGGGGGAUAUUUUUAAAUUACCUGUAAGUUUGUUCAAUGUUUGUUUCGACUGUAUGAAUUCUGUGGAACUGUGUUUGUUUACUAUUUCGAUUGUAUGGUUACGGACUGCAUGUUUCGAUUGUAUGAAUUCUGCAGUCAUAUCAGGCACAAGACCAUCAAUCCCCCACAGGAGAUGAAUAACACUGUGAGUACCGUCUUCGGAUUGCAUUGUAUCUUGAUUUGUGGGUUGUUAGUUGCCUUAUAUGUGUGGGUUCCUAGAUCUAUUUCGUAUGUUGAUGCUUGUAUGAAGUGAUUGUGUAUUGAUUUUGUUUCAGUUCCUCUUGGAGUCUUCACAAGAAUGGAGUAUGUUUCCUCUCGAGAAAAAACAAAAGUACAUUCCAGAGCCAUCACAUACCACAGAUGAUGCUUCUGAUGAGUCUUUGGAACUGGUAACACUUGACAGUAGAUGCUCUCCAAAGUCCUUCAGGAGUGUGGUUUCUCAGUUUAGUGAUGUGAAGAAGGCAGCAUGUGAAGAGCUCUGUUUUGGUGUGUUGUUGAAGAUUGCUGGGACGAGACUGCGCCACUCGAUGGUGCGCGCUCUUGUGGAUUUGGUAGACCCCGAAAAAGGAACCAUUCAGCUGUAUGGGAAGUUGAUUGAAAUUUUUGCGUCUGAUGUUGCUCAGGUGAUGGGGUUGUAGAAUGGUGGGGAGGAGGUCAUUCAGGCUGGUUCGUUCAAGGAUCACCCUGAGUUGAUGGAUAUAAUCAGUCAGUUCUCUCGGUCUGAUGGGAAGAUCUAUUCGAAGGAGUUGGUGAGGUAUUUGGUGGAUCCUCAAACGGUAGCCGACGACAAAUUCAAGCGAGUGUUUGUUUGGUUCACACUGACCACUAUCCUCAGGCCCACUGCCUCACUCUCCCUUCCGAAGAAGUGGUUGGUACUCCUCAAGGACACUAGCCGCAUCUCAUCCAUGAACUGGGCUGCUUACUCUUUCCUAUGGUUGAUGAAUGGAAUCAAGGAGUUCAAGGGUGAUAAGACCUACUGCAGCGGAAACCUCCUUUUUCUCCAGCNNNNN
rnacentral:lncRNA from 1 species